UCCACAUAUGCAUGCAUGGGAUGAUUUUUCUAUAACAAUGAACGAUUAAACGAGAUGGAGAAAGCCAUCUUCCAGAACCCAGGUACCCAGGAUAUGAAGUAUCCACAGUGAUACUGAUUGAGACCAGAAUACUUUACACAGGCCACAGGACCAGACAUCCCAGGAAAGCUCGUUCAUUUCUUAGUGUGUAGACACUCUCCUCUCUAUAAUGGGUCCUAGGAACCAUUUCAAAAUGACCAUAGCAGAAUCAGCCUUAGCAUGAUGCCAUCAUGUGACUAAAAUCAAGGAAGCAAAUGAACCAGGGUCACUUCCACACAAUUUGGGGCGUUUUUUUCCCUAUUAUGUGUAAAUAAAUCCUUCCUAACUGAACAGGCCUAGUUAAAAGAAUAACAGAAAGGACACCACAGAGGCCUUCUUUCCUUAAUCUGGAGAGAAUAAUUCACUACUCAUCCUCCAAGCAAGCACUCAUUGGUUUA
rnacentral:sRNA from 1 species